AGGUGAACUGCGGAAGGAUCAUUGUCGAGACCUGCAAGAGCAGACCGCGAACCCGUGCUCAACCGCACCGGGGCGCACGCGCGGCGGGGGCNAGCCCCCCCACGUGCCGCCCGUCCCGGACCCCCGCCCGGCGCGCGCCCGCGCGCGUUGGGCCGGCCAACGAACCCCGGCGCGGAACGCGCCAAGGAAAACCGAAACGAAGCGUCCCACCCCCCCUCCCGCCCCGUUCGCGGUGUGCCGGGUCNGGGGACGCNGCGUCUCACGUGUACGAUGUCAAAACGACUCUCGGCAACGGAUAUCUCGGCUCUCGCAUCGAUGAAGAACGUUGCGAAAUGCGAUACUUGGUGUGAAUUGCAGAAUCCCGUGAACCNUCGAGUCUUUGAACGCAAGUUGCGCCCGAGGCCCUCCGGCCGAGGGCACGUCUGCCUGGGCGUCACGCAUCGCGUCGCCCCCCUCCCCUCCCGCGCCGCUCCCACGGGACGGCGGCGGGGCGGGGGCAGGGGGGCGGAGACUGGCCUCCCGUGCGCCCCGGCGCGCGGCCGGCCCAAAUGCGAUCCCCCGGCGACGCACGUCGCGACCAGUGGUGGUUGAACGCUCAACUCGCGUGCUGUCCGUCGCGCCCCACGUCGUCGUCCGGUCGGGCAUCACGAAACGACCCAACGCUCUCGACCGCGACCCCAGGUCAGGCGGGAUUACCCG
rnacentral:rRNA from 1 species